CACAAAUAACCAUAUACAUGUGCGUAUUAAAGCAGCAUAAAUUAUUGUUUAUUACUUGAAACUCAUAAUUGAAGUGGACUUAAAAUGUAGUACUAAAAUAGCAAUUAAAGGAUCAAGCUGUAUCAUAUUAUAUAGAAGUUGUAUUUCCGUUGAGGGGAAACAGUUGUCAAUCAAACUUGUUUUAACCCAUGUAGAAUGGCAUUGACAAAUGAUAUAGAUGAAAUCUAGAGCGAGUCCUUUCCCCACAUUCCGUCUCCUUGAUGCACUUCGUGAAGAUAUAGAAAAAACACUUCAUUUCUCAUUUGUAAUAUUUCAAUUCUCUCCUUUGUAGAUAUUUUGGCAAUCCAGAAUUAGCUGUUGCAUGAAUUUUCAUUUCGUUUAUCUAAUAUCCUUUUUAUCCAAUGUUUAAAAAACAGAUUAGGAUGGUACUAAUUCAAUAUGGACAAGUUUGUUUAUGGUUCAUGAAAGCUUUUGAACUGAAUAGGUGUAAUGAUUGCUUGGACUGGUAUUGAGCAUUUCCGCAUGGGAAGAUAUGACCCUCCUCCGCCUGCCGAAGAACGUGAAGAUUUUGUGUAUGAUAUACGCCCAAGGUGGCCGCUGGGAGAAGAGUAUGCUGAAGGAAAAAGUGAAGCCCGUUCCUUAAGAACAGCUCGUAUUCAUCCAUCUCUUACAUCUAUAAUUCAAGCAUCAUUGCAACAGUGACACUGCUUGAACUUCCAUGUUGCUUCAGCCCCUGUAUGAAGAUUCUCUGCAGGACAAGCCUCGCUUUGGACUUAUCUAUGAUUUGCCCUAAUGACAUCCGUGGCCUGAUUUUCAAUAUUACGUGAAAAUAUGUGUCCACUUUGUUGCUUUGCUGUGGAAAUUGGUCAUUGGCAUCGAGCAGUAUGUGGAGAAAUUCCAGCAAAGCAAUGUCACUGCAAUGAGAAACAUUAUAAUGAUGGUUGGUAGAAAUGAAAACAGGAGUGAGUUGGGGACAGAUACAAAUUGAUUAUUCUUUAAACAAUUUUACCACUUAGAAUAGGAAAAAAGGCAAGGAAAUCUUGCAUUUAAAUCUUGUGAUUUAGGCAAUCUUCUGCAUAACCUCUGGAUGUAUGUUUAGGUUUUCUUCUUUCACAUCCACAUUUCUCAUUUCUUACCAUGCAUGACAAAAGUGUUAAUAUAACAUCUGUGUAAGUCUUGACAUACUUCUUUUCCCCCAUUUGUAUAUUAUGAUUUUGGAAAUUUGGCUU